rnacentral:rRNA from 1 species
GAUGAACGCUGGCGGCGUGCCUAAUACAUGCAAGUCGAGCGAACAGACGAGGAGCUUGCUCCUCUGACGUUAGCGGCGGACGGGUGAGUAACACGUGGAUAACCUACCUAUAAGACUGGGAUAACUUCGGGAAACCGGAGCUAAUACCGGAUAAUAUAUUGAACCGCAUGGUUCAAUAGUGAAAGACAGUUUUGCUGUCACUUAUAGAUGGAUCCGCGCCGCAUUAGCUAGUUGGUAAGGUAACGGCUUACCAAGGCAACGAUGCGUAGCCGACCUGAGAGGGUGAUCGGCCACACUGGAACUGAGACACGGUCCAGACUCCUACGGGAGGCAGCAGUAGGAAAUCUUCCGCAAUGGGCGAAAGCCUGACGGAGCAACGCCGCGUGAGUGAUGAAGGUCUUCGGAUCGUAAAACUCUGUUAUUAGGGAAGAACAAAUGUGUAAGUAACUAUGCACGUCUUGACGGUACCUAAUCAGAAAGCCACGGCUAACUACGUG